ACCUAGAGACAGAAGUGCAUUUCUAUUUAGUGAUUGAUUAUAUCGAUCAAUCUCGUGAUUUGUAUAUGUUUAAAGCGUAUUUUGAAACCAAUAUAUGUAAUGGAGCUGAUUCUUUGGACUUGUGAAUUUUUGUCUUGUUCAUAAUGUGGCAGAAACAUCUUUUUUUAAAAGUAUCAGACGGAAUGAGUUACGAGUGAGAUUUGAAACAUUACAUGAUGGCACUUCGAUGUCUGGGCUUCAACUCCCUUAACCACUGCCAAGCAGGACGUUUUGGCGCAGACGUUUUGGCGUAGCCGUUUUGACGCGAAUUGUUCACAUUAUAUAUGUUCAUUUAUUGUCCUUUAAAAAGAAUGAUACAUAUUUAUAUAAAUG
rnacentral:sRNA from 1 species